CACUUAUACUGUGAAACUGCGGAAAGCUCAUUAUAUCAGUUAUAGUUUAUUUGAUGGUACCCUUACUACAUGGAUAACCGUAGUAAUUCUAGAGCUAAUACAUGCCCGGAAACUGCGACUCCUCGGGGAAGCAGCGGACUUAUUAGAUUAAAAGCCAAUCCGGCUUGCCGGUUCUUGGUGAAUCAUAAUAAUUUCACGAAUCGCAUGGCUUUAUGCUGGCGAUGGGUCAUUCAAGUUUCUGCCCUAUCAGCUGUGAUGUUAGUGUAUUGGACUAACAUGGCUAAAACGGGUGACGGAGGAUUAGGGUCUGAUUCCGGAGAGGGAGCCUGAGAAAUGGCUACCACUUCCAAGGAAGGCAGCAGGCGCGUAAAUUACCCAAUCCCGAUUCGGGGAGGUAGUGACAAGAAAUAACAAUAUCGGGCAUUUAAUGUCUGGUAAUUGGAAUGAGUACAACGUAAAACUCUUAACGAGGACCAAUUGGAGGGCAAGUCUGGUGCCAGCAGCCGCGGUAAUACCAGCUCCAAUAGUGUAUAUUAAAGUUGUUGCAGUUAAAGGCUCGUAGUCGAACUUCUGGCCUUGGCAGCCUGGCCCGCCGCUUCGGUGGCGCGUGACGGGCUGCCGGGUCAUCCUUCUGGAGAGCUCCUCUGCCCUUGACUGGGUUGG
rnacentral:rRNA from 1 species